rnacentral:rRNA from 1 species
CCUACGGGAGGCAGCAGUGAGGAAUAUUGGUCAAUGGCCGAGAGGCUGAACCAGCCAAGUCGCGUGAGGGAAGACGGCCCUACGGGUUGUAAACCUCUUUUGUCGGGGAGCAAAGAGAGUCACGUGUUCCUUUUUGUAUGUACCAUAUGAAUAAGCAUCGGCUAACUCCGUGCCAGCAGCCGCGGUAAUACGGAGGAUGCGAGCGUUAUCCGGAUUUAUUGGGUUUAAAGGGUGCGUAGGUGGUUAAUUAAGUCAGCGGUGAAAGUUUGUGGCUCAACCAUAAAAUUGCCGUUGAAACUGGUUGACUUGAGUAUAUUUGAGGUAGGCGGAAUGCGUGGUGUAGCGGUGAAAUGCAUAGAUAUCACGCAGAACUCCGAUUGCGAAGGCAGCUUACUAAACUAUAACUGACACUGAAGCACGAAAGCGUGGGGAUCAAACAGGAUUAGAUACCCUAGUAGUC